rnacentral:rRNA from 1 species
AUGAACGCUGGCGGUCUGCUUAACACAUGCAAGUCGAACGGGAGUAGCAAUACUCCAGUGGCGGACGGGUGAGUAACGCGUGAGAAUCUGCCUUCUGGUCGGGGACAACCACUGGAAACGGUGGCUAAUACCGGAUGUGCCUGCGGGUAAAAGAUUAAUUGCCAGAAGAGGAGCUCGCGUCUGAUUAGCUAGUUGGUGGGGUAAAAGCCUACCAAGGCAUCGAUCAGUAGCUGGUCUGAGAGGACGAUCAGCCACACUGGGACUGAGACACAGCCCAGACUCCUACGGGAGGCAGCAGUGGGGAAUUUUCCGCAAUGGGCGAAAGCCUGACGGAGCAAGACCGCGUGAGGGAAGAAGGCUUUUGGGUCGUAAACCUCUUUUGUCAGGGAAGAACACAAUGACGGUACCUGACGAAUCAGCCUCGGCUAACUCCGUGCCAGCAGCCGCGGUAAUACGGAGGAGGCAAGCGUUAUCCGGAAUUAUUGGGCGUAAAGCGUCCGCAGGUGGCUAUUCAAGUCUGCGGUCAAAGACUGGGGCUUAACCCUGGAAAGGCCGUGGAAACUGAAAAGCUAGAGUGCAGUAGGGGUAGAGGGAAUUCCCGGUGUAGCGGUGAAAUGCGUAGAGAUCGGGAAGAACAUCGGUGGCGAAAGCGCUCUAGCUGGACGUGCAACUGACACUCAGGGACGAAAGCUAGGGGAGCGAAUGGGAUUAGAUACCCCAGUAGUCCUAGCCUGUAAACGAUGGAUACUAGAUGUUGGCCUGUAUCGACCCGAGCAGUGUCCAUAGCUAACGCGUUAAGUAUCCCGCCUGGGGAGUACGCAGCGCAAGUGUGAAACUCAAAGGAAUUGACGGGGGCCCGCACAAGCGGUGGAGUAUGUGGUUUAAUUCGAUGCAACGCGAAGAACCUUACCAGGGCUUGACAUGUCGCGAAUCUUCUGGAAACGAGAGAGUGCCUUCGGGAGCGCGAACACAGGUGGUGCAUGGCUGUCGUCAGCUCGUGUCGUGAGAUGUUGGGUUAAGUCCCGCAACGAGCGCAACCCUCGUUCUUAGUUGCCAGCCUUAAGUGGGCACUCUAGAGAGACUGCCGGUGACAAACCGGAGGAAGGUGGGGAUGACGUCAAGUCAGCAUGCCCCUUACGUCCUGGGCUAACACACGUACUACAAUGCUGACGGACAAAGGGCAGCAAGCGCGCGAGUGCAAGCUAAUCCCAUAAACCGUGGCUCAGUUCAGAUCGCAGGCUGCAACUCGCCUGCGUGAAGGCGGAAUCGCUAGUAAUCGCCGGUCAGCAUACGGCGGUGAAUCCGUUCCCGGGCCUUGUACACACCGCCCGUCACACCAUGGGAGCUGGUUUGGCCCGAAGUCGUUACCCUAACCCGCAAGGGAAGGGGACGCCGAAGGCCGGGCUAGUGACUGGGGUG